rnacentral:rRNA from 1 species
CACGUAGGGGGCAAGCGUUGUCCGGAUUUAUUGGGCGUAAAGAGCUCGUAGGCGGUUCGGUAAGUCGGGUGUGAAACCUCCAGGCUCAACCUGGAGUCGCCACUCGAUACUGCUGUGACUAGAGUCCGGUAGGGGAGCGUGGAAUUCCUGGUGUAGCGGUGAAAUGCGCAGAUAUCAGGAGGAACACCAGCGGCGAAGGCGGGCGCUCUGGGCCGGAACUGACGCUGAGGAGCGAAAGCGUGGGUAGCAAACAGG